rnacentral:rRNA from 1 species
GACAGAGGGGGCAAGCGUUGCUCGGAAUCACUGGGCGUAAAGCGCACGUAGGCGGAUUUCUAAGUCAGGGGUGAAAUCCUGGAGCUCAACUCCAGAACUGCCUUUGAUACUGGGAAUCUUCGAGUCCGGGAGAGGUGAGUGGAACUGCGAGUGUAGAGGUGAAAUUCGUAGAUAUUCGCAAGAACACCAGUGGCGAAGGCGGCUCACUGGCCCGGUACUGACGCUGAGGUGCGAAAGCGUGGGGAGCAAACAGG